GACCUCUGCAGCCCUCUGGCCCUGCUCUGGCAGUGCCCCUUCCCACAGGGUCAAGGAGCCUGGCUCUCUGCCAGACCGUCGAGGUGGUCAGAAUUGUGGAAUCCCAUGCCAAAUAGUACCAAAUUCUCGUGCAGGAUCUGCUUGGGCUCAGAACUCACCUCUGUGCCCAGGAAUGGGUCUUGGUUGGAGAGCGGACAGUGGUUGGACCUGUGGGCGGAGGUGUGGGGGUGGGGGGCUCCAAGUGUGGAGAGAGGGUGGUCAGUCAGCUUGCCUUCCCCCCGCCUCCCUCCUGUCCUUGCAGGAGGCCAAGAAUUCAUAAUUCACACCUUGCCAUCCACGUCCUUGCAGAGCAGUUUUUGUCGGGGUGAGAGGAUACGUCAUCUUUUAAGUUUAUCUUUAUUUAUAACUUAAAUACUUCGGUUAAUGGUACAUGAGUCUCUCUUUGUCCUCCUGCCCACAAAGGGUAGGCAUGGUUCUGAGAAUGAGGUGGUAGAAAAUGCUUUGUCCUUGUAGGCCUGGGGGUUAAGCUCAAGUGUUGGGUAUCCAUUAUUAUCUGAGACCUUGGGCCCGUCCCCUAAGCCACCUUCGUUUCCUAUCUGUAAAUGGUGAUAUUUAAAUUUGCCCUACCCACGUACCACACAGGAGCCUUGGUGAAAAUCUGGUGCCCAAACCCCUCAUUUUACCUUGGAGAGAGCUGAGCAGAGUUAGAACCCUGGUGUGCUGGCUGCCCUGUUCAUGGUGCCAGCCGGUCCUCAGGGAUAAUACUUACCAGAUAAUGGGUGGGCACAUGCUUUAAAAGCUGCAGCGCCUCGUAAAUACAUGACAAUUACUACCCAGACCCGGGCGGCCCACAGCUCCUUCAAGAGGAUACCUGCCUCAGGGCUCCGGGAGCCAUGCAGGUUUCAUUUGGCUUGCUCUUCAGCUGAAAGGACAGCAUCAGUAAAGAUGGAGAGAUUGAAAUCCAAGCAAUGGGGUGUCUGCUGGAUAGAAGCUUCCUAGGAGAGGGCAGAGGAGGAGUCUGGGAGCUGGUGGGAAGGCUGAGGAAGCGUCCUUCCUCUGCAUCAGGAGGAAGAGCCAAGAGACCUGAGAACUGGAGCUGAGAGGUGACAAGCUGAGGGAGCUCAAGCUGCCAGUGCACUGCUCUCUGUGCGUAAACGUGGCCAGGCACCUGCUGCCAGGAGGGAGGCAGGCGUGGGUCCGGGAAUCAGAGCAGAAAUGAGACCGUGUCUAACAGUGACAGUGCAGCGCACAGCGUCAAGUUGCUCAGCUGCUAAAUUUGGGUUCCAUGAAUUUGUGAAUACGCCAAUUCAGCUUUUUAAAAAUUUUUUUUGUGAAGAUUUCGAUAAUUCCUCUUAAGUGUAUCAGAUCAGAUUCUGUUAAAAGUUCUGAAGACUUUUGCUCAGCAUAUAAAAAUAAAUAAUUAUAAAAUUAACUCCACAUCUCCCAUAUGCCCUAAUCCUUAGUGAAAAUAUACGUGCAAACCUGUGACUUAUGUGAUUAAAAAUUCCAUUACUAAUGGGAAAUUAAAUGAACUCAAUAAAACCGUCUUACCUAUGUAGUCUCUUGAGUUUCUCUUUCUGU
ensembl:lncRNA